CGACGCGGGGCUCGAACUCACAGACCAUGAGAUCACGACCUGAGCUGAAGUCGGAUGCUCAACCGACUGAGCCAUCCAGGAGCCCCAAUACCUAAAAUUCUUUAUCAUACACUUAAAUCAGCUCAAAGGACUUCUGAGGUAAGGUAAAUAUUGGCACUUUAAAAUAAAACUGCUAUCUCCCUCCUUUAAACUUUAUCCACUGGACUCUAAAUGCAUUUUAAUUAUACAUUGGGCAGAAUGAGAACAGCACAUCAUCAGCUGAAAAAGAAGAAUUACUCCCCAACAAAUGGAGCCAAGUUUUUAAAGUUCAGGAGCAUUACACUUAAGAUUGCAUUGGGGAACAUUCUGCCCCCUAUCUGCUCACAAGCAACAGCUCAGUUUUUAUGAAUGCAGUUUAAUCUACCUUGUAGAAAUGAACAGCAAAACACAGGAAAGCAUCAGUCCAUGAGUAAGUGAGGGGCUGCACAGUGUAUUAAUAGUUGUUGCUAAGUGCAUUAUUUAAAUAUUAUUCACAGUGUAUUCUCUUAGGUUAAUAGAAAUCAAAUAAGUACACAGAAGGGAUUCAGCGCUACAUAAAGUGUCGAUGGUGAACAGCAAGCAGAAAACUUGCACCCAGAUAUAAAGUAAACGUGGGUUUAAUGUCUGCAGUAACCUCUUAGAAAAGUUAAUGGAAAAAAUAUGUCCUCUUAGAAAAGUUAAUGGAAAACAUAUGUCCAAAGACUAAAUUUUCAAGAAUAAAACUGAUUUAUUUCUAGUCUAUGUUGCUUCCAUCUGAAGGAAUAACACUGAUCUGUCAGAAUUAACAUGGAACGCCUCCUUUUCCUGUCUCUCGAAAUCAUUUGAAGUCUGCAAUGGAGAUCCAAAGUCUUACCAAGUGCUGAUGACCUUGGGAAUGGCAAACAUGCAGGGGGGAGCUCAUGACAGAAGAAAUAACAGAGGAUGGAUAUGUGGUGUCAAUGUCUGAGAAUCUUGAGAGGAAACCUGGGGACUUCUGUAAUCUGUAUAUCCAUGUGAAAAAAACAAAACUCGCACAUCAAAUCUUACAAAAAGUAACUCCGGAUGAACUGUAGCUCUCAGUAAGAAAAGCAGUACAAUAAAACUUCCAGAAGAUAAUACAGGAAACUAUCUCCAUUGCCUUGAUAUAGGGAGACAUUUUAAAAUAUAUAUACAAAAAGCAUUAUCCUUAAAGGAAGAAAUCCGAGACAUGAACCACAUUAAAAUUAAGAAUAUCCGUUCAUCAAUAUAUAUCGUACAAAAUGCAUCAUGCUACACAAAUAACCAAGAAAAGCCUCAAAUGAAGUAUGUUU